rnacentral:misc_RNA from 1 species
UACAGAGGGUGCGAACGUUGUUCGGAAUUACUGGGCGUAAAGCGCGUGUAGGCGGCAGGGCAAGUCGGAUGUGAAAGCCCGUGGCUCAACCAUGGAAGUGCAUUCGAAACUGCUCCGCUAGAGUUCUGGAGAGGAAGGCGGAAUGCUUGGUGUAGAGGUGAAAUUCGUAGAUAUCAAGCAGAACACCUGUGGCGAAGGCGGCCUUCUGGACAGUGACUGACGCUGAGACGCGAAAGCGUGGGGAGCAAACAGG